GGCUUCAGGCAACUAUCCGCAAGCCUUUGGAGUGCAGUAGGAGUUCCCACUGUGCUCCAAAGGCUUGUGGAUAGCCGCCUGAAGCC